rnacentral:rRNA from 1 species
CGGACGGGUGAGUAACACGUUGAUAACCUACCUAUAAGACUGGGAUAACUUCGGGAAACCGGAGCUAAUACCGGAUAAUAUUUUGAACCGCAUGGUUCAAAAGUGAAAGACGGUCUUGCUGUCACUUAUAGAUGGAUCCGCGCUGCAUUAGCUAGUUGGUAAGGUAACGGCUUACCAAGGCAACGAUGCAUAGCCGACCUGAGGGGGUGAUCGGCCACACUGGAACUGAGACACGGUCCAG